AGAGGGGUGUCCGAGUGGUUGAAGGAGCACGCCUGGAACGCGUGUAAAGUACAAGCUUUCGAGGGUUCGAAUCCCUUCCCCUCUGCCA
rnacentral:tRNA from 2 species